AAUAUGCUUGCCAGUUUCCACUGGGUUGGCCCAGUUCUUUUUCUGAUCCAGUAACAUGAAACUCUAAAAUUGGAACAUAAUCUGGAUUGUUGAAUAUAUCUAUUUUUCAGAGACUUUUUAGUGCAGUCCUGAUUUCUGUAUUAAUGAAUUGAGAAGAUGACAUCAGGCUCUUAGGAGCCAAGCACACAACAAAAUCCAAGCUGUGGUUCACACUAACACCGCGUUGAAGUCCUAAUACUGAAGAGAAGGCAAGUCUUGAGGGUAUUGUGCCCAUAGAUAAUUGGAAAAGCUGAAGAACAUUGUUGUAUACAUUCUAAAAAGAACUGAUAUUCAGCUAUAUGAACCACAAUUGAUUUUAAUUUUGUAACGAAAUAGGCAGCCUGAGAUUUUGAUCCUAUUUUAGAACCUGCCAAUAGGUAACAUUCCUGCACUGGAAACUGAGCUGAGCUCAGGAGUACGAGCAUCAUAUGCAGAGACAUGUGGAAGUGUGCAGCAUGGCAUCUGGAAAACAGAUGAAGACGCUAGAUGGCAAGCCUGUGGGGAUGAACAUCUCAUCAGCCACAGCGCAACGCCGGGUGUGUAUGUGGGGAAGGCCGUUGCAGGGGAAGCAGUCAGACUUUCAUGAUGAUCUGCUAUUGUUAAUACUGUUACUUCUUUUUGUUCUUGCUAAGAUAGUGAAUCAGAGAAUCAGUGAUUUGCCCAUCUCUGACCGUGCUCUGCACUUCAGAGAAGAAGGAAGACUUGUUAACUCUCUCGUCCCCCUUCCAUCAGAUGAUAAACUGGGGAUAUGGUGAUGCCAAAAUCAUAUAUAUCUACAAAUUAUUUUGAGAUCUUUGGAAGCAAGACUGCAGAACACUAAGAAAUAUUACUAGAUUAUAUUUACUUUUCCAGAAUCUCUGAAAUGGGUAUGUGAUCUUCAAGACUUCUGCUAAUGAAGAUUUAAUUGUGUUGUCAGUGGUCCCAUGCAUUUUUUUCUUGGCAGACUUGCAGUAUGUAAAAUACACAUGGGAAAUCACUGUCACACUCUGAAGCUGCAACAUAACUGUAGCAGCAUCUACAUUAACCUAGAUCAUAAUGCAUGUGUCCCUCAGAGCUUAGCCCUCACUGGAGCCAUUGCUUAUCAUUAACAACUAUCAGCUGCUGUGAUUAUCAGAUAUUAUGAAUACAACUGUAUUCAGGCUGAUUGUCAUUUCCUGCAUUAUAAGCCAUAUCUUGUGUGGAAAGGGCUGCUCUGACAGGUCUAUCCAGUGUACCCUCUCUGAACAGGUAAUAGGUCCUUCUCCCUUCAGGUACACCAUGCUAUCAGCAGCACAAAGGGGCACCUCUUCUAGGGGGGAGAACAUAGCAAUUCUGUUUCUCAGAAAUGGACUCUAAGCACAAUCAUGAGACUCAAGAAUGAGGCUAAAGACCCCAAAAUAUGAUGGCCUCCUCACAAAACAUGAGUCUAUAUUAGGUGCCUGAGAUUUGCAGGAAUAUUCCACCAGAUAUCAUCAGAUACCCUUUCUGUUUUGGUGAAAAAGGAACUUUUCUGCAGACAUAUGCAGGAAUAUGUAGCUACUCCACAAAGAAAUAUUUCUCUGCUUAAGUCCUGCUCUGAUAUUUCUCUCUAUACCUGUGCCUGAAUAAAGCACAAGGCUGGUCAUUCA
ensembl:lncRNA